rnacentral:lncRNA from 1 species
GCGUUGGGGGGGGGGUGUAUGGGGUGGAUGAUGAGGCGCACACUGACCCUGGAGGUUGCAUUCCCCUUUAAAAGUCACGGCACACUCUGAUACGCAAGGCUCAUGCAGGAGCUGCUGCGGCAGUGGGAGAACACUGCUGAGCUGUGCAUUUUGUACUGCCAGUGAGCGCGCAGAGAGGAGGAGGGGGAGCAAGAGAUAGAAAAAGAGAGAGAGAGCAGGAGAAUGAGGCAGGGAGAGAGAGCGAACAAUGUCAUUUCAUUCAGCAGGCAAUGCUGCAGUCAACUUUACUCCACCGGAGGAGAAGACACGGCCGCUUGUGCAUCAUCCCUGCAAGACCCGGAGAUGGAGAGGAACGAGAGGGAGAGCGCAUACCCUGCAGUGUCCUGCAGCACAGUUCCUGCAGUACUGCCAAGACGUGGCAGCAGCUGCAGCAGCAAGAAAGACAGGCAGCUACACUGUCACGUGGAUGAUGAGAUAAAGAAACAGAGAAAGCAAGUUUUUGCUACUGAAGCAGUAGAGCAGAGGGCGCUGUGCAGAGCAACAAGAACAUGUCUUGACUUGUACCAGCUUGUCAAAAGGGAGUUAAGGCUUGUGGUCAGCACCAGUAACUGUAUUUGCAAUUUCAUCCAAAUGACCGGCGAGAGACGACAGCAGCAUACCAUCCACUGUAGAAUAUAUGGAUACUAG